UAGCAUGGGGUAAACAAAUGUGAUUUUUCUGUUGUUGAGAAAUACGUUUUUUGUGCAUUUGGAACAAUUCUGGGAUCUUUAAUUUCAGCUCAUGAUACAUGGGACCAACACUACAGUGCUGAAAAAAGUAACCAAAUGUCAUACUUCAGGCUGAGACACACAAGGUCAGUUUAGGUCUGAGACACACAAGGUCAGUUUAGGUCUGAGACACACAAGGUCAGUUUAGGUCUGAGAUACACAAGGUCAGUUUAGGUCUGAGACACACAAGGUCAGUUUAGGUCUGAGACACACAAGGUCAGUUUAGGUCUGAGACACACAAGGUCAGUUUAGGUCUGAGAUACACAAGGUCAGUUUAGGUCUGAGACACACAAGGUCAGUUUAGGUCUGAGAUACACAAGGUCAGUUUAGGUCUGAGACACACAAGGUCAGUUUAGGUCUGAGAGCCUAUGAAGGGACAAGGUCAGUUUAGGCCUGAGACACACAAGGUCAGUUUAGGUCUGAGAUACACAAGGUCAGUUUAGGUCUGAGACACACAAGGUCAGUUUAGGUCUGAGAUACACAAGGUCAGUUUAGGUCUGAGACACACAAGGUCAGUUUAGGUCUGAGAGCCUAUGAAGGGACAAGGUCAGUUUAGGCCUGAGACACACAAGGUCAGUUUAGGUCUGAGAUACACAAGGUCAGUUUAGGUCUGAGACACACAAGGUCAGUUUAGGUCUGAGACACACAAGGUCAGUUUAGGUCUGAGAUACACAAGGUCAGUUUAGGUCUGAGACACACAAGGUCAGUUUAGGUCUGAGACACACAAGGUCAGUUUAGGUCUGAGACACACAAGGUCAGUUUAGGUCUGAGACACACAAGGUCAGUUUAGGUCUGAGACACACAAGGUCAGUUUAGGUCUGAGAUACACAAGGUCAGUUUAGGUCUGAGACACACAAGGUCAGUUUAGGUCUGAGAUACACAAGGUCAGUUUAGGUCUGAGACACACAAGGUCAGUUUAGGUCUGAGAGCCUAUGAAGGGACAAGGUCAGUUUAGGCCUGAGACACACAAGGUCAGUUUAGGUCUGAGACACACAAGGUCAGUUUAGGUCUGAGAUACACAAGGUCAGUUUAGGUCUGAGACACACAAGGUCAGUUUAGGUCUGAGACACACAAGGUCAGUUUAGGUCUGAGACACACAAGGUCAGUUUAGGUCUGAGAUACACAAGGUCAGUUUAGGUCUGAGACACACAAGGUCAGUUUAGGUCUGAGACACACAAGGUCAGUUUAGGUCUGAGAUACACAAGGUCAGUUUAGGUCUGAGACACACAAGGUCAGUUUAGGUCUGAGAUACACAAGGUCAGUUUAGGUCUGAGAGCCUAUGAAAGGACAAGGUCAGUUUAGGUCUGAGACACACAAGGUCAGUUUAGGUCUGAGAUACACAAGGUCAGUUUAGGUCUGAGACACACAAGGCCAGUUUAGGUCUGAGAGCCUAUGAAGGGACAAGGUCAGUUUAGGUCUGAGAGCCUAUGAAGGGACAAGGUCAGUUUAGGUCUGAGAGCCUAUGAAGGGACACUGUCUGAAUAUCCACAAUACGCACAUGAGCAGACAUUACAUAGGGAUUUUCUUAAUUUCAAUAUGACCUGAAUAAAAAAAGGAUAAUAAAAUAUCACAUUACGACUCCAAGAAUAUGAAUGAAAGAAACAACCCAAGUCAUCAUGUUUUUUUUUUAAGUGAGAAAUCUUUAAAUUAAUUUAAUCAGCAUUAUUUACACAACAACCAACAUGGACUACUCAUACAUGAGAGGAGUAGUACAGCCUGAAUCCCACAGCUGUUUGUGUUGUCUUGCCAAAACUCCCAUGAAGGCUGGGUGCCAGUUGGUUUCUGCUCGCCCUGGCAUGAACAGAGCAGACUGGUAUGUAAAGCCUUGUCCAAGCCAGACAGGCCCAUAGGGCAGCAGUCCAUCUCCUGUUUCUGUAACAUGAGGCAGCAUGUUGUACAAGUACACCCUCCUUGACAGUACGCCCCCUGAAACAGACUGGCACCCAAGCUAACUCCUAUGGUCAUGACUCACAAGGAUUUGGCAAAAUGGCACAAACUGAUCUGGGACACCAGGCUAGGGAGUAAGUAGGCUAUAAUAUGACAGAAAUCCCUUUCGUCUAGAUAUCCCUAUGUUAAAGGUAGAAUACAUGAAGAAAAUUAACAAAAUCACUAGCGACAGCUGGCACCCUAUUCUCUGGUCAAAAUAAGUGCACUAUAUUGGCAGUAAUAGGGUGCCAUUUGCACAGCCUUUAUCAGUGCUCAAUUCUUCUAGGGCUGGAAUUCAGUCAAACUCCUUAUAACAAUGUUUAUGGCAGUGUCUUUGUUUACAAACUAAUGUCCAUGCAUCGCCUUCUCAUUGCGGAAAAACAUGCAUCUAUUUGUGAUGGGGAUACUUCCUCGUGGUAGUAAAGUAUUACCACUGUUCAGGGAUUAGAUCUGACCAUGGGGGUAAAAGAGCUCCUGCAUAAAUACCACAAUGAGUUUGAUUGAAGGCCGAGGCUGUGGAUCAGACUUUUCUGGGCCCCUCGUCCCAACAGCUAAAAGGUCCCGAAGCUUCUGCGCAUGUACGGAAUUCUCUACUUUAAGCAGUCUCAGCUCUACACAUAUACAACCAUCCUUCACAUUCCUAGUGUCAUUGGUGAAUUAGAAUUUUCCCAUUUUCUUUUACAGAUUAAACUUCCAUGCAGCAUCUGCAUAGCAACUAUUUGAUCUCAGUUUCAUGGGGAUAUGCAAUUAGAUCGUUAUGCUAUUUAUAUUCAGUUGCCUAGUUAAAUAUAGGUUAAAUGCAAAUAAAUGUAGAUUGCUAAUAUUGCGUUUUUGCAGACAUUGAUUCAACUGCGACCAAACCUUAUUAAAAGAGCACCAUUCACUAGAAUAGCCGGUUCCCUGCGAGUAGAGCAGAGACUGUGUGUAAAGUAGAGAAUCGCGCACAAUAGCAGAAGCUUCGGGACCUUUAGCUGUCCAGAAGAGGGGUUCAGAAAAGUCCAAUUCUCAGCCACUCCAUUGAUCUAAU